AGUCAUAUGCUUGUCUCAAAGCUUAAGCCAUGCAAGUCUAAGUACAAACUAAAUUAAGGUAAAACCGCAAAAUGCUCAUUAAACUAGUUAUAGUUUACUAGAAUUAAAAUAAUAAAUGGAUAACUGUGGUAAUUCUAGAGCUAAUACAUGCAUUUAAGUUUUGCCCACUUGUGGGAAAAACGCUUUUAUUAGAUCAAAACCAAUCGAAUAGUUUACUAUUCGUUAUUUUGAUGACUCUGAAUAACACCGCAGAUCGCACAGUCCUCGUACUGGCGACAUAUCUUUCAAAUGCCUAACUUAUCAACUGUCGAUGGUAGAUUAUAUGUCUACCAUGGUGAUAACGGGUAACGGGGAAUCAGGGUUCGAUUCCGGAGAGGGAGCCUGAGAAACUGCUACCACAUCCAAGGAAGGACUCCCGGCACGGGGAGGUAGUGACGAAAAAUAACGAUACGGGACUCAUCCGAGGCCUCGUAAUCGGAAUGAGUACACUUUAAAUCCUUUAACAAGGAUCUAUUAGAGGGCAAGUCUGGUGCCAGCCGCCGCGGUAAUUCCAGCUCUAAUAGCGUAUAUUAAAGUUGUUGCGGUUAAAAAGCUCGUAGUUGGUUCUGUGUGCCAUGCUGUUGGUUCACCGCCUGCCGGUGCAACUGACAUGCCAUGGGACGUAUUGUCGGUGGUAGUUAAGGCCCUAGUCUUCAUGUUUAGGGUCAAACUUAAGCUGGAGUUAGGUAACUUUAACUGCCGAUUGACUCCUAUCGCGGUGCUCUUUACUGAGUGUCGAGGUGGGCCGACAUUUUUACUUUGAACAAAUUAGAGUGCUUAAAGCAGGCAGAAAUCUGCCUGAAUAGUGGUGCAUGGAAUAAUAGAAUAGGAUCUUGGUUCUAUUUUGUUGGUUUUUAAGAAUCCAAGGUAAUGAUCAAUAUGGACAGGCGGGGGCAUUCGUAUUGCGACGUUAGAGGUGAAAUUCUUGGAUCGUCGCAAGACGAACUAGAGCGAAAGCAUUUGCCAAGUAUGUCUUAAUUGAUCAAGAACGAAAGUUAGAGGCGCAAAGGCGAUCAGAUACCGCCCUAGUUCUAACCAUAAACGAUACCAGCCAGCGAUCCGGCGAUGUUUUUUUUAUGACUCGCCGGGCAGCUUCCGGGAAACCAAAGCUUUUGGGUUCCGGGGGAAGUAUGGUUGCAAAGCUGAAACUUAAAGGAAUUGACGGAAGGGCACCACAAGAAGUGGAGCAUGCGGUUCAAUUUGACUCAACGCGGGAAAUCUCACCAGACCCAGACAUUAGGAGGAUUGACAGAUUGAUAGCUCUUUCUUGAUUUAGUGGGUAGUGGUGCGUUCGUAGGCCGACCUGUCAGGUUAAUUCCGUUAACGAACGAGACUCAGACUUACUAACUAGGCGUCUGGUAUUUUUGCUACCAACGUCAUUUUUCUUCUUAGAAGGACAGGCGGUUUUCAACCGCACGAGAUUGAGCAAUAACAGGUCAGUGAUGCUCUUAGAUGCUCUGGGCUGCACGCGUGCUACACUGAAGGAAUCAGCGUGUUUCUCCCUGUCCGAAAGGUCCGGGUAACCCGCUGAACCUCCUUCGUGCUAGGAAUUGGGGCUUGAAAUUAUUCCCCAUAAACGAGGAAUUCCCAGUAAGCACGAGUCAUAAGCUCGUGUUGACUAAGUCCCUGCCCUUUGUCCACACCGCCCGUCGCUACUACCGAUUGAAUUAUUUAUUGAGGUCUUCAGACUGGUAAUAAGUGUUCUUGUUUAUUUACAAGUAUACAGUUUUUACCGGAAAGAUGACCAAAAUUGAUUAUUUAGAGGAAGUAAAAGUCGUAACAAGG
rnacentral:rRNA from 1 species